rnacentral:lncRNA from 1 species
UCUCGAUUAGAAGGUAAUGAUUUAGUUGAUGAUAUAUUAAAAAUCUUUUUCUAAUUAUCAUUCUACUUUGGCCAAAGACUUUCAAAUCAAUGACCUAUGAGAUCAUAUAGGAUGUUUGCUCUCCUUAUUAAGAGUGACUGAUCUCUUAUUGAUCACUCACAAUCUCUAUGUACUCUUCACCAUAUUUAGAACACCCCACACA